rnacentral:rRNA from 1 species
CCUACGGGUGGCAGCAGUGGGGAAUAUUGGGCAAUGGGCGAAAGCCUGACCCAGCAACGCCGCGUGAAGGAAGAAGGCUUUCGGGUUGUAAACUUCUUUUGUCAGGGACGAAGCAAGUGACGGUAGCUGACGAAUAAGCCGCGGCUAACGACGUGCCAGCAGCCGCGGUAAUACGUAGGUGGCAAGCGUUAUGCGGAUUUAGUGGGUGUAAAGGGGGUGUAGGCGGGACUGCAAGUCAGAUGUGAAAACCACGGGCUCAACCUGUGGCCUGCAUUUGAAACUGUAGUUCUUGAGUACUGGAGAGGCAGGCGGAAUUCCUAGUGUAGCGGUGAAAUGCGUAGAUAUUAGGAGGAACACCAGUGGCGAAGGCGGUCUGCUGGACAGCAACUGACGCUGAUGCGCGAAAGCGUGGGGAGCAAACAGGAUUAGAUACCCCUGUAGUC